rnacentral:rRNA from 1 species
GAUGAACGCUGGCGGCGUGCUUAACUCAUGCAAGUCGAACGGAAAGGCUCCUGCUUGCAGGGGUACUCGAGUGGCGAACGGGUGAGUAACACGUGGGUGAUCUGCCCUGCACUUCGGGAUAAGCCUGGGAAACUGGGUCUAAUACCGGAUAGGACGAUGGUUUGGAUGCCAUUGUGGAAAGUUUUUUCGGUGUGGGAUGAGCUCGCGGCCUAUCAGCUUUUUGGUGGGGUAAUGGCCUACCAAGGCGUCGACGGGUAGCCGGCCUGAGAGGGUGUACGGCCACAUUGGGACUGAGAUACGGCCCAGACUCCUACGGGAGGCAGCAGUGGGGAAUAUUGCACAAUGGGCGCAAGCCUGAUGCAGCGACGCCGCGUGGGGGAUGACGGCCUUCGGGUUGUAAACUCCUUUCGCUAGGGACGAAGCGCAAGUGACGGUACCUGGAGAAGAAGCACCGGCUAACUACGUG